rnacentral:rRNA from 1 species
GACGAACGCUGGUGGCGUGCUUAACACAUGCAAGUCGAACGGGAUUUCGUAAACAGAAGCCUCGGUGGAAGAUUACUAAUGAGAGUGGCGAACGGGUGAGUAACGCGUGAGCAACCUGCCUAUGACAGUGGGAUAGCCCCGGGAAACCGGGAUUAAUACCGCAUAAAAUCGUAGAAACACAUGUUUUAACGGUCAAAGAUUUAUCGGUCAUAGAUGGGCUCGCGUCUGAUUAGCUAGUUGGUGAGAUAACAGCCCACCAAGGCGACGAUCAGUAGCCGGUCUGAGAGGAUGAACGGCCACAUUGGAACUGAGACACGGUCCAAACUCCUACGGGAGGCAGCAGUGGGGAAUAUUGCACAAUGGGGGAAACCCUGAUGCGGCGACGCCGCGUGAACGAAGAAGGUAUUCGUAUCGUAAAGUUCUGUCCUAUGGGAAGAUAAUGACAGUACCAUAGAAGAAAGCUCCGGCUAAAUACGUG